CACAUUACUUGUGUGACCGCGUACUUUUUGUAGAACGGGCCAACGAGUUACGUUACCUAGCAAGGUUAAGCACUUAAGGUGUGGAGCCGUAGCGAAAGCGAGUCUUAACUGGGCGAUUAGUUAGUUGACGUAGACCCGAAACCGGGCGACCUAUCCAUGGGCAGGUUGAAGCGAAAGUAAAAUUUCGUGGAGGACCGAACCCACGAGCGUUGAAAAGCUCGGGGAUGACUUGUGGAUAGCGGUGAAAUUCCAAUCGAGCCCGGAGAUAGCUGGUUCUCCCCGAAAUAGCUUUAGGGCUAGCCUCAAGCGUAGAGAAACGGAGGUAGAGCACUGAAUGUCCUAGGGGGUAUUGCACUUACCGAAGACUAUCAAACUCCGAAUGCCGUAUUCUUUUGCUUGGGAGUCAGACUAUGGGUGAUAAGAUUCAUAGUCAAGAGGGCAACAGCCCAGAUCGUCAGCUAAGGUCCCUAAAUGUAAGUUAAGUGGUAAAGGAUGUGGAAUUGCACAGACAACCAGGAUGUUGGCUUAGAAGCAGCCACUCAUUUAAAGAGUGCGUAAUAGCUCACUGGUCGAGUGAUCCUGCGCCGAAAAUUUCCGGGGCUAAAACGUACUACCGAAGCUACGGCAUCAUUUAUGAUGGGUAGGAGAGCUUCCCAUACGGGUUGAAGCAUGACCGAAAGGACAUGUGGACUGUAUGGGAGUGAGAAUGUUGGCAUGAGUAGCGAGAUGUGGGUGAGAAUCCCACAGGCCGUAAACCCAAGGUUUCCAGGGGAAGGUUCGUCCGCCCUGGGUUAGUCAGGACCUAAGCCGAGGCCGAAAGGCGUAGGUGAUGGACAACAGGUUGAUAUUCCUGUACCACCAAUAACCGUUUGAGAAAUGGGAUGACACAGAAGGAUAAGCUAACCGCACUGUUGGUUAUGUGCGGGCAAGUAUUGAGGCAGUUCUGGUAGGCAAAUCCGCCAGAAUAAUGCUAGGGUACGAUGCGGAGCGAAAUUUAGUAGCGAAGUAGCUGAUUUCACACUGUCGAGAAAAGUCUCUAUCGAGGUUAAAGGUGCCUGUACCGCAAACCGACACAGGUGGGUGAGGAGAGUAUCCUAAGGCCAGCGAGAGAACUGUUGUUAAGGAACUCGGCAAAAUGACCCCGUAACUUAGGGAGAAGGGGUGCCUUCGAAAGAAGGCCGCAGAGAAUAGGCCCAAGCGACUGUUUACCAAAAACAUAGGUUUCUGCUAAGUCGCAAGACGAUGUAUAGGAGCUGACGCCUGCCCGGUGCUGGAAGGUUAAGGGGAUCUGUUAGAGCAAUCGAAGCAGUGAACUUAAGCCCCAGUAAACGGCGGCCGUAACAAUAACGGUCCUAAGGUAGCGAAAUUCCUUGUCGGGUAAGUUCCGACCCGCACGAAAGGCGUAACGAUUUGGGCACUGUCUCAACAACAGACUCGGUGAAAUUGUAAUACCGGUGAAGAUGCCGGUUACCUGCGACAGGACGGAAAGACCCCAUGGAGCUUUACUGUAGCUUGACAUUGAGUCUCGGUGCUACAUGUACAGGAUAGGUGGGAGACUAUGAAGCAUGGACGUCAGUCUGUGUGGAGUCAUCCUUGGGAUACCACCCUUGUAGUACUGGGAUUCUAACCAGAGGCCAUGAAUCUGGUCUUGGGACACUGUCAGGUGGACAGUUUGACUGGGGCGGUCGCCUCCCAAAAAGUAACGGAGGCGCUCAAAGGUUCUCUCAGUACGGUCGGAAAUCGUACGAAGAGUGUAAAGGCAAAAGAGAGCUUGAUUGCAAGACAUACAGGUCGAGCAAGGACGAAAGUCGGACUUAGUGAUCCGGUGGU
rnacentral:rRNA from 1 species